rnacentral:rRNA from 1 species
UACGUAGGGGGCAAGCGUUGUCCGGAAUCAUUGGGCGUAAAGAGCGCGUAGGCGGCCCUGUAAGUCCGCUGUGAAAGUCAAGGGCUCAACCCUUGAAUGCCGGUGGAUACUGCAGGGCUAGAGUCCGGAAGAGGCGAGUGGAAUUCCUGGUGUAGCGGUGAAAUGCGCAGAUAUCAGGAGGAACACCGAUUGCGAAGGCAGCUCGCUGGAACGUAACUGACGCUGAGACGCGAAAGCGUGGGGAGCAAACAGG